rnacentral:antisense_RNA from 1 species
UUUGACCGAGCCCAGCCACAACGGCUCCUCGCGGUCCUGGCCAUAGGUCGCCAGCAGCGCCUGCGCCUC